rnacentral:snRNA from 1 species
UUCUGGAAUGAUACACAAAGAUUAGCAUGGUCCCUACGCAGGGAGGACACACAAAUUUGUGCAACGUUCCACAUUUCU